UAUAUGUGCGUGAAUCACAUCUGAAACAUUCCGUCAAAUAAAUGACUACUUUCGGACCAAUCGUCGACUUUUCAAAAGAUAGAAACUUUAAUUGCAGGUUUCUGCAAAAGACCGGAGAGAGUGUUGAAUCUCAGAACAAAACAAAAGACGAUCGGAGAGUGACGUCAUGAGUUUCAGGUGGAAGAGACGGGUAUAUAGGGAGGUGGAAAAAAGGUCUUGCCACAGUCCCCUUCGAACCUUCCACACAAUGGCUGCUGCUAAAACUUUCCUCGUCGCUCUCUGUUUGGGCUUGGCAGUGGCUGACGAAACCAUUCGGGAAAAGCGUGGUUUUAUCGGCGGCGGCUACGGAGGAGGCCACGGCGCAGGCGUGGGCGGAGGCUACAGCAGUGGCGGC